UAUCGAUUUUCGUAGAAUUAUCGACAGUUAUCUAGCUUGAUACCGACUUACCGUCGUUACAUAAGCGUUAUCAUGUGAAAGUGAUGAAAGUUUUUAUUGAAAUUUCAUUGAUUCACGAUGCGGAAGAUGCACGAGUUCCGCGAAGUGAACGUAUCUUCGAUAUCGUCACUCAAUGGCAACCUCUAGGCGCAACAAAGGGAUGAUGCUCCGAAACGCGAGAUGGUAGCACCAAGUUUUAUCCCUUUAAACUAAUAUUUAUCUAAUAGAGAUUUAUUUUACCUAAACCAAAUUACGAUAUCGGCGGUAUAAUUGUAAUAUUAUUUUGUCUUUUUCGAUAUAAUUCAUCGGCUCGAUCGUUUCAAGUUUUAUAAGAAGAUUCGAAGAAGAGGAUCGAAAUCGAUAUAUCCGGGCACGUGUUUUCAGGUAGAUCUAAUUGGCCCGGAGGGUUUCAGAGCAAUGUGGACCAUUUCAGCGUCGGGCUGUGCAUCGAACAGCCGUGCAUUACCGCGGCAGAUGGUGCUCGUCGUGAUUGCAGCUGCUCUUAGAAGAACACCUGCCGUGGUCGUUCUCUCUGCCAACUAUCGAGAUGCACCGUAUCACUGUCAGUCCUUUCCGACCUCCCCUUUCCCUUCUCUUCCAUUUCUCUAUCUUCUUGCGUUCUCCGUCUGUCGGAUCCACGCAGUAUUAGCUGUACUGUGGCAUGCCGACAAAUGAAGGGACAAAGGGCCGCUUUAUUUCGGUCUCGCGGUCUCGACAUUAACGAGAAGACGACGACGGAUCGUUUGAACCCUAAAGAGGGCGAAAUUUUCAAAGAAGAGAAGGGCUUCCUUGUUAAAUUAUUUCUUUAUCUUUUUUUCAUGUAAGUUUCUUGACUUCUUCGUCCUUUGCAUUAGAAUCGAAUUCUUUUAGUUUUCCUCUAUUUCUUGAUUUCUCUUUUCUAGGCACCUCGUAGCAUAGAAAAAGCUUAUCCACCCGUUCUUCUUUUCAUAAGAAUGAGAAAAAUAAAGUUAAAGAAGGAGAAGAAGAAGAAGGAGAUGAAGAAAAAAAGAAGUUAGAACACAAUCCAUUUGGGAAAUCGAAAGGAACGUUCGGACGUUGCGUGAUAUUUCUGUGGAAUCAAGUUUCAGAGAGUAGUAUCUUGAAGCUAUCGCAAUUUUUAUUCCACAAUGGGUUAUGUGGAAUACAGGGGUUGUGAGUUAUCACGCUUGUAAGAGAAAAAAGGAUAGGAAGGACCAGAUGUGCAUAGAAUUUCAUCCAAGUAUUCCUCGAGGAAAACCAAGAAUCGUAUUAGAAGAAAAUUAAUUGUACAUCGAUGAGACUUUAAGUAGGUAGGUAUCGUAGUAUGAUGCUUUAGGGAAAGCUUGUUAUUUCGUCGGAAACAGAAAGAGAUUCGUCAUCCAGCGGAAGUUUGGUCGGUCCGUAGGGAGUCUCGUCGACUUAGCAACGAUUUUGAUGGAACGUUUUGGCGAGCAGGGAACAGCAGUGAUAGCUUUUUGACCGCUCCUUCGUUGUACUUGGACUUCUCUUCCGGUCGUCAGAGAAGAAAAAGAAAUAAAAGACUAGAAGAGAUAAUAAGGCAGGAAGUAUAAAGGAAGAGCUUUGUGAGAAGAAAAAGAAGUAAGAGAGA